UAGGGAAUAUUGGUUAAUGUGCGAAAGCGCGAACCAGCAACGCCGCGUGCACGAUGAAGGCCUUCGGGUUGUAAAGUGCUUUUUGAGGGGAUGAGGAAGGACAGUACCCUCAGAAUAAGUCUCGGCCAACUACGUGCCAGCAGCCGCGGUAACACGUAGGAGACGAGCGUUAUCCGGAUUUACUGGGCGUAAAGCGCGUGCAGGCGGUUCAGCAAGUUGGAUGUGAAAGCUCCCGGCUUAACUGGGAGAGGUCGUUCAAAACUACUGAACUUGAGAGUGGUAGAGGGAGGUGGAAUUCCGGGUGUAGUGGUGAAAUGCGUAGAUAUCCGGAGGAACACCAGUGGCGAAAGCGGCCUCCUGGACCAUUUCUGACGCUCAGACGCGAAAGCUAGGGUAGCGAACGG
rnacentral:rRNA from 1 species